rnacentral:rRNA from 1 species
UACGGAGGGUGCAAGCGUUAUCCGGAUUCACUGGGUUUAAAGGGUGCGUAGGAGGACUGGUAAGUCAGUGGUGAAAUCCCCGAGCUUAACUUGGGAACUGCCGUUGAUACUAUCUGUCUUGAAUACCGUGGAGGUGAGCGGAAUAUGUCAUGUAGCGGUGAAAUGCUUAGAUAUGACGUAGAACACCAAUUGCGAAGGCAGCUCACUACGCGAAUAUUGACACUGAGGCACGAAAGCGUGGGGAUCAAACAGG